rnacentral:rRNA from 1 species
UACGUAGGGUGCGGGCGUUAAUCGGAAUUACUGGGCGUAAAGCGUGCGCAGGCGGUUUGCUAAGACAGGUGUGAAAUCCCCGGGCUUAACCUGGGAACUGCAUUUGUGACUGCAUCGCUAGAGUACGGUAGAGGGGGAUGGAAUUCCGCGUGUAGCAGUGAAAUGCGUAGAUAUGCGGAGGAACACCGAUGGCGAAGGCAAUCCCCUGGGCCUGCACUGACGCUCAUGCACGAAAGCGUGGGGAGCAAACAGG